rnacentral:rRNA from 1 species
UACGGGGGGGGCAAGCGUUGUUCGGAAUUACUGGGCGUAAAGGGCUCGUAGGCGGCCAACUAAGUCAGACGUGAAAUCCCCAGGCUCAACCUGGGAACUGCGUCUGAUACUGGAAGGCUUGAAUCCGGGAGAGGGAUGUGGAAUUCCAGGUGUAGCGGUGAAAUGCGUAGAUAUCUGGAGGAACACCGGUGGCGAAGGCGACAUCCUGGACCGGUAUUGACGCUGAGGCGCGAAAGCCAGGGGAGCAAACAGG